rnacentral:rRNA from 1 species
CUGAUGCAGCAACGCCGCGUGGGGGAUGACGGCCUUCGGGUUGUAAACUCCUUUCAGCAGGGACGAAGCUUUUAUCGGUGACGGUACCUGUAGAAGAAGCACCGGCUGACUACGUGCCAGCAGCCGCGGUAAUACGUAGGGUGCGAGCGUUGUCCGGAAUUAUUGGGCGUAAAGGGCUUGUAGGCGGUUUGUCGCGUCUGACGUGAAAGCUCACGGCUUAACCGUGGGUCUGCGUUGGGUACGGGCAGACUAGAGUGUGGUAGGGGAGACUGGAAUUCCUGGUGUAGCGGUGAAAUGCGCAGAUAUCAGGAGGAACACCGAUGGCGAAGGCAGGUCUCUGGGCCAUUACUGACGCUGAGAAGCGAAAGCAUGGGGAGCGAACAGGAUUAGAUACCCUGGUAGUCCAUGCCGUAAACGUUGGGCGCUAGGUGUGGGCCGCAUUCCACGUGGUCCGUGCCGUAGCUAACGCAUUAAGCGCCCCGCCUGGGGAGUACGGCCGCAAGGCUAAAACUCAAAGGAAUUGACGGGGGCCCGCACAAGCGGCGGAGCAUGCGGAUUAAUUCGAUGCAACGCGAAGAACCUUACCAAGGCUUGACAUGCGCCGGACGCAUCCAGAGAUGGGUGUUCCUUUUGGGCUGGUGUGCAGGUGGUGCAUGGUUGUCGUCAGCUCGUGUCGUGAGAUGUUGGGUUAAGUCCCGCAACGAGCGCAACCCUCGUUCCAUGUUGCCAGCACGUGAUGGUGGGGACUCAUGGGAGACUGCCGGGGUCAACUCGGAGGAAGGUGGGGAUGACGUCAAAUCAUCAUGCCCCUUAUGUCUUGGGCUUCACGCAUGCUACAAUGGCCGGUACAGAGGGCUGCGAUACUGUGAGGUGGAGCGAAUCCCUUAAAACCGGUCUCAGUUCGGAUUGGGGUCUGCAACUCGACCCCAUGAAGUUGGAGUCGCUAGUAAUCGCAGAUCAGCAACGCUGCGGUGAAUACGUUCCCGGGCCUUGUACACACCGCCCGUCAAGUCACGAAAGUCGGUAACACCCGAAGCCCAUGGCCUAAC